GGCUUCGUUUGUCUGAGCGUCGU
rnacentral:rRNA from 1 species